CCCACUUGUGGUUGGUGAAGAAAUGUGCUGAAUUUAUUUUCAAUGUGGUGCGUGGGAAUAGAGCAGGUAAAGCCAUCAGGUUGCAGGUCAAGUCUGCUAACAUUUUCCUAUAAAUAGAGGGCUUAGUUAGAAUUGAAAAUCACACCAGAAACAAGUUUUCUCUCUUUCUCUCUCCAGAUUAUUGAGUGUUUUUUGUGAGUAUUUAGAUACUUUGUGAGUUUCUAUUCAUCAGUGCAAGUUUCCUUCAGCCUUAUACCGAUAUUCCGAUCAGAAGUACUGAUAUUUUGAGGUAAGGGAUGUUAUUUUCUUCAUAUAUGAUAUUAUUUCUUCAAUAUCAUUAUGCCGAAGUAUUGAUCUGAAUUUUUAUCAAAUUUAGAACUUUUUUUGUCGGGGUUACUAUUCAAAUAUACGGCACUAUUCACCGAAAAAUAAAAUUUUUUUCUUUUUAUCCAAGAUGUCUAUUAUGG
rnacentral:lncRNA from 1 species